CUUAUCAAGAGUGGUGGAGGGACAGGCCCUUAGAUACCCGGCAACCUGAUUUCAAGGUGCUAAAUCCUGCAGACUAUAGUCUGGAAGAUGAGG
rnacentral:ncRNA from 1 species